GACGAACGCUGGCGGCGUGCUUAACACAUGCAAGUCGAACGGAAAGGCUCUGCUUUUGUGGGGUGCUCGAGUGGCGAACGGGUGAGUAACACGUGAGUAACCUGCCCUUGACUUUGGGAUAACUUCAGGAAACUGGGGCUAAUACCGGAUAGGAGCUCCUGCUGCAUGGUGGGGGUUGGAAAGUUUCGGCGGUUGGGGAUGGACUCGCGGCUUAUCAGCUUGUUGGUGGGGUAGUGGCUUACCAAGGCUUUGACGGGUAGCCGGCCUGAGAGGGUGACCGGCCACAUUGGGACUGAGAUACGGCCCAGACUCCUACGGGAGGCAGCAGUGGGGAAUAUUGCACAAUGGGCGGAAGCCUGAUGCAGCAACGCCGCGUGCGGGAUGACGGCCUUCGGGUUGUAAACCGCUUUCGCCUGUGACGAAGCGUGAGUGACGGUAAUGGGGAAAGAAGCACCGGCUAACUACGU
rnacentral:rRNA from 1 species